UCAGACGAUGCGUCAUGCAUAUCAAUAAGCGGAGGAAAAGAAACUAACAAGGAUUCCCCUAGUAACGGCGAGUGAAGCGGGAAGAGCUCAAAUUUGAAAUCUUAAAGGGUUUCCCUUUACGAGUUGUAGUUUAAAGAAGUGUUUUCUGUUGAGGUUUUGGUAAAAGUUCUUUGGAAUAGGACAUCAUAGAGGGUGAGAAUCCCGUAUUUGACCUUUACUUUCAACUUUGUGAUACACUUUCAAAGAGUCGGAUUGUUUGGGAAUGCAGUCCAAAAUGGGUGGUAAAUUUCAUCUAAAGCUAAAUAUUGGCGAGAGACCGAUAGCGAACAAGUACCGUGAGGGAAAGAUGAAAAGAACUUUGAAAAGAGAGUUAAACAGUACGUGAAAUUGUCAAAAGGGAAGCGUUUGACACCAGUGUUGUUUUUCUGAAAAUCAAUUAAAGAACUGUUUAUGCUAAGCUGUUUAGACUUUAUCAGCUAUCUGUUUAGUUUUGAGCUUUUCUUUAAUGCACUUUUCAGUUAACAAGUCAACAUCAAUUUCUUUUGCUGUAAAAAAGCUUGAGGAAGGUGGCUUGAGAUUCGUCUUAAGUGUUUAUAGCCUCUUGCCUAUGCAGUCGGAGAGAUUGAGGUCUGCAGCGUAGAUCCUUCGGGGCUAAAUGCAUUUGUGCUAAGUUAUAGCAUUUUAUAGACAUCUUGUUGACUAUGAUUUGUCUUGUAGCUUACUCGCUUAUGUUAUUUUACCUACGCUUAGGAUGUUGACACACGCGCGUGCUCG
rnacentral:rRNA from 1 species